UAGUGUUACAGCUCUUUUAGAAUUUGUCUAGUGGGGCUUUUGGUUUUUGCUGGAAAGUCCCCU
rnacentral:snRNA from 4 species